rnacentral:rRNA from 1 species
AGUGAACGCUGGCGGUAGGCCUAACACAUGCAAGUCGAACGGCAGCACAGUAAGAGCUUGCUCUUACGGGUGGCGAGUGGCGGACGGGUGAGGAAUACAUCGGAAUCUACUUUUUCGUGGGGGAUAACGUAGGGAAACUUACGCUAAUACCGCAUACGACCUACGGGUGAAAGCAGGGGAUCUUCGGACCUUGCGCGAUUGUAUGAGCCGAUGUUGGAUUAGCUAGUUGGCGGGGUAAAGGCCCACCAAGGCGACGAUCCGUAGCUGGUCUGAGAGGAUGAUCAGCCACACUGGAACUGAGACACGGUCCAGACUCCUACGGGAGGCAGCAGUGGGGAAUAUUGGACAAUGGGCGCAAGCCUGAUCCAGCCAUACCGCGUGGGUGAAGAAGGCCUUCGGGUUGUAAAGCCCUUUUGUUGGGAAAGAAAAGCAGCAGGUUAACACCCCGCUGUUCUGACGGUACCCAAAGAAUAAGCACCGGCUAACUUCGUG